rnacentral:misc_RNA from 1 species
UUUCCGUAGGUGAACCUGCGGAAGGAUCAUUCAUAAUAAAGUGUUUUAUGGCACUUUUUAAAAAUCCAUAGCCACCUUGUGUGCAAUGUUAGAUCUCGUCAAUCUUGGCGAGAUUUUUAUACAUCAACUCAUUCUUUAACUAAUUUGUCUGAAAAAUAUUAUGAAUACUUAAUUCAAAAUACAACUUUCAACAACGGAUCUCUUGGCUCUC